rnacentral:lncRNA from 1 species
GGCCUCAGCAAACAAUAUGGAGUCAUGGACCACAGGCAUCCUGUGUUCUGCCAUUGCAGGGAGGUAAUUACCACAAUGCCCCUUCAUUCCACACUCUUCCUGGGCCAAUCAGCUUCCCUCAUGAGGAGAGGGCAGCCAUUCAGCAUUCAGAUACUCUGAAGAACAAACUGACAGCUUGGAUCCCAGCAGUUGGUUUGAUUAUCCCCUUAGAGAGAGUGUGCAGUUGAAGUCUCUCAUGGAAAAUAAGUCAAGGU